GUGCUUGCUCAGGCAGCACAUAUGAAAAAUUGGAAUCGAUACAGAGAAGAUUAGCAUGGCCCCUGCGAAAGCUGCCUCACGCAAAUUCGUGAAGUGUUUCCACAUUUU
rnacentral:snRNA from 1 species